AUUGAACGCUGGCGGCAUGCUUUACACAUGCAAGUCGAACGGCAGCGCGGGCUUCGGCCUGGCGGCGAGUGGCGAACGGGUGAGUAAUGCAUCGGAACGUGCCCAGUAGUGGGGGAUAGCCCGGCGAAAGCCGGAUUACUACCGCAUACGACCUGCGGGUGAAAGCGGGGGACCGAAAGGCCUCGCGCUAUUGGAGCGGCCGAUGUCGGAUUAGCUAGGUGGUGGGGUAAAGGCUUACCAAGACGACGAUCCGUAGCUGGUCUGAGAGGACGACCAGCCACACUGGGACUGAGACACGGCCCAGACUCCUACGGGAGGCAGCAGUGGGGAAUUUUGGACAAUGGGGGCAAACCUGAUCCAGCCAUGCCGCGUGCGGGAAGAAGGCCUUCGGGUUGUAAACCGCUUUUGUUCGGGAAGAAAUCCUCUGGGCUAAUACCCCGGGGGGAUGACGGUACCGGAAGAAUAAGCACCGGCUAACUACGUG
rnacentral:rRNA from 1 species